rnacentral:rRNA from 1 species
GAUGAACGCUGGCGGCGUGCCUAAUACAUGCAAGUCGAGCGAACAGACGAGGAGCUUGCUCCUCUGACGUUAGCGGCGGACGGGUGAGUAACACGUGUAUAACCUACCUAUAAGACUGGGAUAACUUCGGGAAACCGGAGCUAAUACCGGAUAAUAUAUUGAACCGCAUGGUUCAAUAGUGAAAGACGGUUUUGCUGUCACUUAUAGAUGGAUCCGCGCCGCAUUAGCUAGUUGGUAAGGUAACGGCUUACCACGGCAACGAUGCGUAGCCGACCUGAGAGGGUGAUCGGCCACACGGGAACUGAGACACGGUCCAGACUCCUACGGGAGGCAGCAGUAGGGAAUCUUCCGCAAUGGGCGAAAGCUUGACGGAGCAACGCCGCGUGAGUGAUGAAGGUCUUCGGAUCGUAAAACUCUGUUAUUAGGGAAGAACAAAUGUGUAAGUAACUAUGCACGUCUUGACGGUACCUAAUAAGAAAGCAACGGCUAACUACGUG